rnacentral:rRNA from 1 species
GACGAACGCUGGCGGCGUGCUUAACACAUGCAAGUCGAAACGAUGAAGCCUAGCUUGCUAGGUGGAUUAGUGGCGAACGGGUGAGUAAUACGUGAGUAACCUACCUUUAACUCUGGGAUAAGCCUGGGAAACUGGGUCUAAUACCGGAUACGACCAAUCUCCGCAUGGGGUGUUGGUGGAAAGCGUUAUGUAGUGGUUAUAGAUGGGCUCACGGCCUAUCAGCUUGUUGGUGAGGUAACGGCUCACCAAGGCGACGACGGGUAGCCGGCCUGAGAGGGUGACCGGCCACACUGGGACUGAGACACGGCCCAGACUCCUACGGGAGGCAGCAGUGGGGAAUAUUGCACAAUGGGCGCAAGCCUGAUGCAGCGACGCCGCGUGAGGGAUGACGGCCUUCGGGUUGUAAACCUCUGUUAGCAGGGAAGAAGAGAAAUUGACGGUACCUGCAGAGAAAGCGCCGGCUAACUACGUGCCAGCAGCCGCGGUAAUACGUAGGGCGCGAGCGUUGUCCGGAAUUAUUGGGCGUAAAGAGCUUGUAGGCGGUUUGUCGCGUCUGCUGUGAAAGGCCGGGGCUUAACCCCGUGUAUUGCAGUGGGUACGGGCAGACUAGAGUGCAGUAGGGGAGACUGGAACUCCUGGUGUAGCGGUGGAAUGCGCAGAUAUCAGGAAGAACACCGAUGGCGAAGGCAGGUCUCUGGGCUGUAACUGACGCUGAGAAGCGAAAGCAUGGGGAGCGAACAGG